rnacentral:rRNA from 3 species
CCUGGUUACGGCGAGACGAGCCGUCUAUACGAUAGGUGUCAAGUGGAAGUGCAGUGAUGUAUGCAGCUGAGGCAUCCUAACAGACCUAAAGACUUGAAC